AAAAAUGCCAACAGAUGGCUCUUCCUGCAUCCGCACAGCUGAUGAUUCCAAAGUUUGUUUGGUGGGAUACUCUUGAUGAUACAAAUCUGUAAAUUCAGCUCCACACUCACAGCAGAGAUUUUGAAUCUGUUUCAUUACCUAAUGUGUGGACCAUUUUCCUUUUCCUCUGUGAGUUAUGGCUUCUUGUGCAGCUUAUUUGCAGUUCUUGCUCAGCAAGAGAAGGGUUAUUACUGCUGCUGCUGUGUAGUUUUCUCAUUAAAAGAUAUAUGAAGACAGCAGAUAGGUCCAUGCUUCAAAAUAUUAGAUGAAAUACUUGAUCGACACAACGUACACUGGAACAAGAUUCCCCAUCUGGAAAUGGACACACAGAAGUAGCAAUCAUCAAUUACAACAGAAUUCUACAAAAAAAAAAGUCAGUUCUUUUACUCUAAAGGACACCCUUAUUCAGAAGAGCAGUUAUGCACAUACCAACAUUCUGUAGGAGAGAAUUAAUUAAAAAUAAAUACAUUUACUAACAAAUUAAUCA
rnacentral:lncRNA from 1 species